GCGCGAAACCUCCGCAAUGCGGGAAACCGCGACGGGGGGACCCCGAGUGCCGUGGCAACGCCACGGCUUUUCCGGAGUGUAAAAAGCUCCGGGAAUAAGGGCUGGGCAAGGCCGGUGGCAGCCGCCGCGGUAAUACCGGCGGCCCGAGUGGUGGCCGCUAUUAUUGGGCCUAAAGCGUCCGUAGCCGGGCCCGUAAGUCCCUGGCGAAAUCCCACGGCUCAACCGUGGGGCUUGCUGGGGAUACUGCGGGUCUUGGGACCGGGAGAGGCGGGGGGUACCCCUGGGGUAGGGGUGAAAUCCUAUAAUCCCAGGGGGGCCGCCAGUGGCGAAGGCGCCCCGCUGGAACGGGUCCGACGGUGAGGGACGAAGGCCAGGGGAGCAAACCGGAUUAGAUACCCGGGUAGUCCUGGCUGUAAAGGAUGCGGGCUAGGUGUCGGGUGAGCCUCGAGCUCGCCCGGUGCCGUAGGGAAGCCGUUAAGCCCGCCGCCUGGGGAGUACGGCCGCAAGGCUGAAACU
rnacentral:rRNA from 1 species